GCUGGAGAGAGAGAGAGACAGAACGGGGGGGAGAGAGAGAGAUGGGGAAGGAAAGCAGAGAGAUGGGUAUCAUAAUAUGCUACCCAUGUUGACCUUUGACCCUCACUGCAGGUGUAUGUCUGUCGGUUGGCCCACUACAUACUCGGCUCUAUAUUUGUAUUGGUGAAGGUUCUGUGUCCCAACUGCUGAUCGUGAAACUCAAGUUCAAAAGUUGAGAGAACAGAAGGAAUGCAGGAGUUGAGCGCCAAGUUUAUCUGAACAGUUUAUCUGUGCAGCACCGACACUCUGUUAAAAUACCCCUCAUUCAGCUUUCACCACAUAACACGAGCAGAAUUGUGCCAUGGCCUUGACCUUGAAUGUGCUGAUACAGUAGCCAACCCAUCAUAAGACCUCUGUGGCACUGCGGAUAACAGAAGCCAUGGCUUAGAAUCACAGUGCUUCAGGCUCUGGACCUGAAUAUAAUAGACAUAAAUAUGCCCCCAGUAUCAGUACAUGAGUCAGCAUAUGGCCGUGCACUGUGUGUCUGAAUGUGUGUAAGCAUGUGUGAGUGUGUGUCUCUGUGUGUGUCUCUGGUUGUGUGUCUGAAUGUGUGUAAGCAUGUGUGACUGCUUGUAAGUGUGUGUCUCUGGAUGUGUGUGUUUGAAUGUGAGUAAGCAUGUGUGACUGCUUGUAAGUGUGUGUCUCUGGAUGUGUGUGUUUGAAUGUGAGUAAGCAUGUGUGAGUGCUUGUAAGUGUGUGUCUCUGGAUGUGUGUUUGAAUGUGAGUAAGCAUGUGUGAGUGUGUGUCUCUAGUUGUGUGUUUGAAUGUGAGUAAGCAUGUGUGAGUGUGUGUAAGUGUGUGUCUCUGGAUGUGUGUUUGAAUGCGAGUAAGCAUGUGUGAGUGCUUGUAAGUGUGUGUCUCUGGAUGUGUGUGUUUGAAUGUGAGUAAGCAUGUGUGAGUGCUUGUAAGUGUGUGUCUCUGGUUGUGUGUUUGAAUGUGAGUAAGCAUGUGUGAGUGUGUGUAAGUGUGUGUCUCUGGAUGUGUGUUUGAAUGUGAGUAAGCAUGUGUGAGUGUGUGUGAGUGUGUGUCUCUGGACAGGGUCAAACCUUGAGCCCCAGGAUUUUGUCCAGGGCUUUGAAGCAGCCGUUGGGGCCGAACUCCGCGUCUUUUCCCCUCUCCUGCGAGGACCACCUCAGCAUCAGCUGCAGCCAGCGUUCCAGCUUCUCCGCCAAGAACCUGGAGCACAGCCAAUCAGCACCCUCAAACAUCUGUGACAUCACAGCCAAUCAGCACCCUCAAACAUCUGUGACAUCACAGCCAAUCAGCACUCAACUACACUUAAAAAUCUCUGUGAUAUCACAGCCAAUUAGCACUUAACCUAUCCUCAAACAUCUCUGUGACAUCACAGCCAAUCAGCACUCAACCUUCUCUUAAAAAUCUCUGUGACAUCACAGCCAAUUAGCACUUAACCUUCCUUCAGUAGCAUACUUCCCCUGAAUUAUUUCAGCAGAUAUCCAGCUGCAUAAUGGAGUGUAAGUACAAUGUCAGCUGUGUCUGCUACGUUUGCAUUUGUUCUUCCUUCUUCUCUCACUGCCACUUAUAUCCUGAACAACCCACAAUCCCACUGAACGUGUCUGAGCACUGGAGAGGGUUUUUGGGGUCCGGUUCUGGGGCUCCUGCUCUCUCACUUGUUGAGGUUGUUGGGUUGAGGCAGGUGUUUGGAGAACUGGACCUCCCCCGAAAGGUCUUCAGACACAACGAUGUCAUCCUCCGCCUUCUGCUUCAAUUUAGCAUGCCUGAAGGAUAGAUACACAGAAAGAGCAGAUUUACUACUAUAAAUGCAUACAGUGCACUGCUGUGAAUUAAAUACGUAUUAUUCAUGAUCGUGUAAAUCAUAUAGUUUUCUUACUAAUUUAAGUGCGACUAUGAUGUAACUAUAAUAAAUGGUACUUCUUAUCUUAAGAGUCAA